UCAUUCAUAGACAAUCGUGAA
rnacentral:piRNA from 1 species